UGUGGCUCAAUGGUUGAGCACUGGGCUGCUAACUCAAAGGCUGUUGGUUAGGAUCCACCAAUCA
rfam:Loxodonta africana unplaced genomic scaffold scaffold_315, whole genome shotgun sequence.